rnacentral:rRNA from 1 species
CGCUGGCGGCGUGCCUAACACAUGCAAGUCGAACGAAGCGACUGGAGGAAGUUUUCGGAUGGAAUCCGGUUGACUGAGUGGCGGACGGGUGAGUAACGCGUGGAUAACCUGCCUCACACUGGGGGAUAACAGUUAGAAAUGGCUGCUAAUACCGCAUAAGCGCACAGUACCGCAUGGUACGGUGUGAAAAACCCAGGUGGUGUGAGAUGGAUCCGCGUCUGAUUAGCCAGUUGGCGGGGUAACGGCCCACCAAAGCGACGAUCAGUAGCCGACCUGAGAGGGUGACCGGCCACAUUGGGACUGAGACACGGCCCAAACUCCUACGGGAGGCAGCAGUGGGGAAUAUUGCACAAUGGGCGGAAGCCUGAUGCAGCGACGCCGCGUGAGUGAAGAAGUAUCUCGGUAUGUAAAGCUCUAUCAGCAGGGAAGAAAAUGACGGUACCUGACUAAGAAGCCCCGGCUAACUACGUGCCAGCAGCCGCGGUAAUACGUAGGGGGCAAGCGUUAUCCGGAUUUACUGGGUGUAAAGGGAGCGUAGACGGCGACGCAAGUCUGGAGUGAAAGCCCGGGGCCCAACCCCGGGACUGCUUUGGAAACUGUGCUGCUGGAGUGCAGGAGAGGUAAGUGGAAUUCCUAGUGUAGCGGUGAAAUGCGUAGAUAUUAGGAGGAACACCAGUGGCG